UACGUGGGGGGCAAGCGUUAUCCGGAUUUACUGGGUGUAAAGGGAGCGUAGGCGGUUCAGCAAGUCAGAAGUGAAAGCCCGGGGCUCAACUCCGGGACUGCUUUUGAAACUGUUGAACUAGAUUGCAGGAGAGGUAAGUGGAAUUCCUAGUGUAGCGGUGAAAUGCGUAGAUAUUAGGAGGAACACCAGUGGCGAAGGCGGCUUACUGGACUGUAAAUGACGCUGAGGCUCGAAAGCGUGGGGAGCAAACAGG
rnacentral:rRNA from 1 species